rnacentral:sRNA from 1 species
GCCGGGCUGUUGUAAAACUCCAAGCCAAUGGAGUUUCCCGAUUACGGGUUGACAGCAAGCGGUAUCAUGCUGGAAAGCAGGGAUGCCGCGGAAACAGCCGGGAUACCGGCAAA